rnacentral:rRNA from 1 species
GACGAACGCUGGCGGCGUGCUUAACACAUGCAAGUCGAACGGAAAGGCUCCAGCUUGCUGGAGUACUCGAGUGGCGAACGGGUGAGUAACACGUGGGUAAUCUGCCCUGCACUCUGGGAUAAGCCUGGGGAACUGGGUCUAAUACUGGAUAUGACCUUUCUCCUUAUGGGGUUUGGUGGAAAGUUUUUCGGUGUAGGAUGAGCCCGCGGCCUAUCAGCUUGUUGGUGGGGUGAUGGCCUACCAAGGCGACGACGGGUAGCCGGCCUGAGAGGGUGAUCGGCCCCAUUGGGACUGAGAUACGGCCCAGACUCCUACGGGAGGCAGCAGUGGGGAAUAUUGCACAAUGGGCGGAAGCCUGAUGCAGCGACGCCGCGUGAGGGAUGACGGCCUUCGGGUUGUAAACCUCUUUCAGCAGGGACGAAGCGUAAGUGACGGUACCUGCAGAAGAAGCACCGGCUAACUAUGUG